UGCAUCGGCGGGAAUCGAACCCUGGCCGCCCGCGUGGCAGGCGAGCAUUCUACCACUGAACCACCGAUGC
rnacentral:tRNA from 1 species